UGCCCUAGUAACGGCGAGUGAAGCGGCAACAGCUCAAAUUUGAAAUCUGGCUCUCGGGCCCGAGUUGUAAUUUGUAGAGGAUACUUUUGAUGCGGUGCCUUCCGAGUUCCCUGGAACGGGACGCCAUAGAGGGUGAGAGCCCCGUCUGGUUGGAUGCCAAAUCUCUGUAAAGUUCCUUCAACGAGUCGAGUAGUUUGGGAAUGCUGCUCUAAAUGGGAGGUAUAUGUCUUCUAAAGCUAAAUACCGGCCAGAGACCGAUAGCGCACAAGUAGAGUGAUCGAAAGAUGAAAAGCACUUUGAAAAGAGAGUUAAAAAGUACGUGAAAUUGUUGAAAGGGAAGCGUUUAUGACCAGACUUGGGCUUGGUUAAUCAUCUGGGGUUCUCCCCAGUGCACUUUUCCAGUCCAGGCCAGCAUCAGUUUUCCCCGGGGGAUAAAGACGGCGGGAAUGUGGCUCUCUUCGGGGAGUGUUAUAGCCCACCGUGUAAUACCCUGGGGGGGACUGAGGUUCGCGCAUCUGCAAGGAUGCUGGCGUAAUGGUCAUCAACGACCCGUCUUGAAACACGGACCAAGGAGUCGUCUUCGUAUGCGAGUGUUCGGGUGUCAAACCCCUACGCGUAAUGAAAGUGAACGCAGGUGAGAGCUUCGGCGCAUCAUCGACCGAUCCUGAUGUUCUCGGAUGGAUUUGAGUAAGAGCAUACGGGGCCGGACCCGAAAGAAGGUGAACUAUGCCUGUAUAGGGUGAAGCCAGAGGAAACUCUGGUGGAGGCUCGCAGCGGUUCUGACGUGCAAAUCGAUCGUCAAAUAUGGGCAUG
rnacentral:rRNA from 1 species